UUUGACAUUCUUGAGAUGCCUGCAUGCAAGUAUUUAAAACUUUUGAGAGAAUACAGAGUACUAGGGAGACUACUAUUAUGACUAUCAGGAGGAUAAUACCAAGAGUUUGGAGUAUGCUCAUUAGCUAGGGUCCCCAUGAAUCAAACAAACUAAACAAGUUGAUCAAAAAGUGAGAUAGACAAAGAGCCACUCACUUUAACCAAGCAGUCUGUUCAUUAAUCUCCUACAACUGAAUCUCUAUAGUACCCAAUGUAUUUCUCCAUGUGCAAAAAGAAGUGCCAGCAACUACACAGAUUCUUCUCUGCCUAGCCAAUAGUUGAGUGUGUUCCUGGUCAUCAGAAGAGUGGAGUCUUUUCCAUGCCGUUCAUCAGUCCAGGAACCCAGACUGACAUGGAUUCCUCUAUCUUCAGCUCCCGGUUUCCAGCGUCACCCAGGAAACCACAUGCAGCCUUUAGGAUGGAAUGUGGAGCCCCCUGCAUGGAGGUUUUCAUGGCGCAGGCCUGGGAGAAGCACAGACCACUCUGCAGUAGUCCAUUCCCAAGAACCGGUGCACAUGUUGGAGGCGAGGUGAAAGGCAGCUGAGAAAUGUGCAGGGCUCAGUGUCCCGGGGGCAGCCACCUCCGCAGGACAGGUGUGGGAGGGGGAGUGCGUCAUUGCCUCCAACUGGGUUCUCUUCUCCACCACAUGGCACAGAGUGGGCACUCAGCACAUUGCUUAAUGAAUGAAACCCACUUCAUUUCAGUGUCGUGACCCUGAGAGAGUUUCUUAAAUAUUUUCACAUGCUGAAGCAACUGCAAUUCUGGGGUCAUUUGUGGAAUACUAUAUUUAUUGAUG
rnacentral:lncRNA from 1 species